AGAAUCAACGCUGGCGGCGUGCCUAACACAUGCAAGUCGAACGCGAAAGUCCCGCAAGGGACAAGUAGAGUGGCAAACGGGUGAGUAACGCGUGGGCGACCUACCUCUGAGUGGGGGAUAACCUUCCGAAAGGAGGGCUAAUACCGCAUGACAUCCCGUGUUUGGAUACACGGACAUCAAAGCCGGGGAUCGCAAGACCUGGCGCUUGGAGAGGGGCCCGCGUCCGAUUAGCUAGUUGGUGGGGUAACGGCCCACCAAGGCUCCGAUCGGUA
rnacentral:rRNA from 1 species